UCAAGGCGAGGAUUUGAGCAGGAAGGUAGAGUAGUUUGACCAAAACAAGCGUAUGGCGGCGUAUAUUUAUGGUUUAAAAUUGCAAUUUGCGUGCAAAAAUAUUUUAACUGUGUUUUUAUCUCUUUUUUUUCAGCAUGUCUAAUUCAGGAGUAUGGCAGCCACCAAUUCCAAUUUAAGAAUUGCAGGAGUAGCUGGUUUCUGGGCAGCAGUAGCAGUUUCGCCAAAAUCUAGCGUAUGGCGGCGUGUAUUUAUGGUUUUUAAUUGCAAUUUGCGUGCAAAAAUAUUUUUACUGUGUUUUAACUCUUUUCUUUUUCAGCAUGUCUAAUUCAAGAGUAUGGCAGCCACCAAUUCCAAUUUAAGAAAUGCAGGAGUAGUUGGUUUUUGGGCAGGAGUAGCAGUUUGGCCAAAUCUAGCGUGUGACGGCGUGUGUUUAUGCAUGUCUUAUUCAAGAGUAUGGCAGCCACCAAUUCCAAUUUAAGAAAUGCAGGAGUAGCUGGUUUUU